CCUCCUCGAUCUAGAAAACAACCUUUUGUCAACAAACCGAGCGUAUAUACUCAGAAAAUUCAAGGAUAAUUGCAAAGAAAUAAUCAUCAAAAAAUGUACGUUUGCUUUUUCCCCCAUUGCAAAAACAAAUCUAGAUUCAAGAUCCCUUGUGGAAAGACAUACCCAGAAAUCCACAAGAAGUGGUUGGAUUUUAUUGGUAUCGAUAAAGUAAACCCUAUGUCACGAAAGGGUUUAUGCGAGGCUCACUUUACUCCAGAUCAAUUUAUGAUUGAAAGUGAAAAUACAGGAGAAAAUUAACGAUAACGAAAUUGGAAACAAAUGCUGUUCCGACAAUUACAAUUGUUCUACAACUGGAUGAGGACAUAUCAGGAGAAGAAAUCACUCUACUUCACUGUUCCACUCCUGAUGACGCUUUUUCUUCCCUGCUAGUCCUGGAAAACGCAGGUGGUGAAAGUGCUUUGAACAGGAUCGUAUCUCUGAUCCAAUUUUUAAAAAAUGUGGAAGUAUUCGAGCGCAAGAGCUUGGGGAUGAAGAACCUAAUGACACAUGUAAAGAUGCAGAGGAAAUGGAGUUGCUAGGAGAAAAGAAUGCCGUUCAAAGUACCAAAGCUGAUGAACAUGGGUUUUUUUUGUUGUGGCCAGGACAAUAGAAGUAUCUGUCCACAAACUAUGGUCCAAAAAAAAGAGACACGAAACCAGGAGAUGUAGACUGAACUAAUGGGGAGUGCAAUAACAAACAAACAGAAUUGAAACGCUUCCAGAAUCGCUCUGCGCAAACUCGAAUGGCCCUUGGAUAUAAUAAUCAAGAUUUUCGAAAUAAUGACAAAGCAAUUUAGCAUUUUACAGGGCUUGAGAAUUAUCUCAAAUUUGAAUUUGUAUUAGCUUCACUGAGUCCAGAAACUUUUUUUGAUGUUUACCUCACGCAAUUUUAAACAACAAAUUCACUUAAUUCAGAUGAACAAACACUUCAUUGCCCCAACCUCCAUAUAAGUUGUUAUUCAUACUUUUCCCUCCAAAAUAAAGCAACGCUGCUCCCUGGCGCCAUCUGCCCUGAGCUUUGCACGAUGAUCCUAACUCGUUAGUAUCGUCGUCCCGCUGUCACAGGGAUAAGUUCAAGGACGGAUCUUUGUUCUCCUUGUGCUUAAUGUUUUUUUCAUGUUUUUCAGCGAUUAUAAAUAAUAAAUAAGGU